rnacentral:rRNA from 1 species
CAAGCGUUGUUCGGAUUUACUGGGCGUAAAGGGCGCGUAGGCGGCCAGCACAAGUCAGUUGUGAAAUCUCCGAGCUUAACUCGGAACGGUCAACUGAUACUGUGCGGCUAGAGUGCGGAAGGGGCAACUGGAAUUCUUGGUGUAGCGGUGAAAUGCGUAGAUAUCUGGAGGAACACCGGUGGCGAAGGCGGCGUUCUGGACUGCAACUGACACUGAGGAACGAAAGCCAGGGGAGCAAACGGG